UGGUGGAUUGAUUUGUCUGCUUAAUUGCGAUAACGAACGAGACCUUAACCUGCUAAAUAGCCAGGCUAGCUUUGGCUGGUCGCCGGCUUCUUAGAGGGACUAUCGGCUCAAGCCGAUGGAAGUUUGAGGCAAUAACA
rnacentral:rRNA from 1 species